UGGGGAAUCUUGGACAAUGGGGGCAACCCUGAUCCAGCCAUGCCGCGUGAGUGAUGAAGGCCUUAGGGUCGUAAAGCUCUUUCGCCUGUGAAGAUAAUGACGGUAGCAGGUAAAGAAACCCCGGCUAACUCCGUGCCAGCAGCCGCGGUAAUACGGAGGGGGUUAGCGUUGUUCGGAAUUACUGGGCGUAAAGCGCACGUAGGCGGACCAGAAAGUUGGGGGUGAAAUCCCGGGGGCUCAACCCCGGAACUGCCCUCCAAAACUAUUGGUCUAGAGUUCGAGAGAGGUGAGUGGAAUUCCAAGUGUAGAGGUGAAAUUCGUAGAUAUUUGGAGGAACACCAGUGGCGAAGGCGGCUCACUGGCUCGAUACUGACGCUGAGGUGCGAAAGUGUGGGGAGCAAACAGGAUUAGAUACCCUGGGUAGUCCACACCGUAAAACGAUGAAUGCCAGUCGUCGGGU
rnacentral:rRNA from 1 species